rnacentral:rRNA from 1 species
GACGAACGCUGGCGGCGUGCUUAACACAUGCAAGUCGAACGAUGAAGGAGAGCUUGCUCUCCGGAUUAGUGGCGAACGGGUGAGUAACACGUGACUACCCUGCCCCUUUCUCUGGGAUAACGCUCCGAAAGGAGUGCUAAUACCGGAUAGGAACUCUGAACACAUGUUAGGAGUUGGAAAGUUGUUCGGAAAGGGAUGGAGUCGCGGCCUAUCAGCUUGUUGGUGAGGUAACGGCUCACCAAGGCGACGACGGGUAGCCGGCCUGAGAGGGCGACCGGCCACACUGGGACUGAGACACGGCCCAGACUCCUACGGGAGGCAGCAGUGGGGAAUAUUGCACAAUGGGCGAAAGCCUGAUGCAGCGACGCCGCGUGAGGGAUGAAGGUCUUCGGAUUGUAAACCUCUUUCAGUAGGGACGAAGCGAAAGUGACGGUACCUAAAGAAGAAGCACCGGCUAACUACGUGCCAGCCGCCGCGGUAA